UACGUAGGGGGCAAGCGUUGUCCGGAUUUAUUGGGCGUAAAGAGCGUGUAGGCGGCCAGGUAGGUCUGCUGUGAAAACUCGAGGCUUAACCUCGAGCUGUCGGCGGAAACCAUCUGGCUAGAGUCCGGAAGAGGAGAAUGGAAUUCCCGGUGUAGCGGUGAAAUGCGCAGAUAUCGGGAAGAACACCGGUGGCGAAGGCGGCAUCCUGGACCAAUUCUGACGCUGAGGAGCGAAAGCCAGGGGAGCAAACGGG
rnacentral:rRNA from 1 species